rnacentral:rRNA from 1 species
UGGGGAAUUUUCCGCAAUGGGCGAAAGCCUGACGGAGCAAUACCGCGUGAGGGAGGAAGGCUCUUGGGUUGUAAACCUCUUUUCUCAGGGAAGAACACAAUGACGGUACCUGAGGAAUCAGCAUCGGCUAACUCCGUGCCAGCAGCCGCGGUAAUACGGAGGAUGCAAGCGUUAUCCGGAAUGAUUGGGCGUAAAGCGUCCGCAGGUGGCUGUGUAAGUCUGCUGUUAAAGAGUCUAGCUCAACUAGAUAAAGGCAGUGGAAACUACACGGCUAGAGUGCGUUCGGGGCAGAGGGAAUUCCUGGUGUAGCGGUGAAAUGCGUAGAGAUCAGGAAGAACACCGGUGGCGAAGGCGCUCUGCUAGGCCGCAACUGACACUGAGGGACGAAAGCUAGGGGAGCGAAUG